rnacentral:rRNA from 1 species
ACUCAUCAACCCUGGGAACAUACCUAAACGUUGCUUCGGCGGGAAUAGACGGCCCCGUGAAAACGGGCCGCCCCCGCCAGAGGACCCUUAACUCUGUUUCUAUAAUGUUUCUUCUGAGUAAAACAAGCAAAUAAAUUAAAACUUUCAACAACGGAUCUCUUGGCUCUGGCAUCGAUGAAGAACGCAGCGAAAUGGGAUAAGUAAUGGGAAUUGCAGAAUUCAGUGAAUCAUCGAAUCUUUGAACGCACAUUGCGCCCGCCAGUAUUCUGGGGGGCAUGCCUGUUCGAGCGUCAUUACAACCCUCAGGCCCCCGGGCCUGGCGUUGGGGAUCGGCGGAGCCUCUCUGGGGGCACACGCCGUCCCCCAAAUACAGGGGCGGUCCCGCCGCAGCUUCCAUCGCGUAAUAACUAACACCUCGCGACUUGGGGAGCGGCGCGGCCACGCCGUAAAACACCCAACUCUUCUGAAGUUGACCUCGAAUCAGGUAGGAAUACCCGCUGAACUUAAGCAUAUCAAUAAGCGGAGGAAAAGAAACCAACAGGGAUUGCCCCAGUAACGGCGAGUGAAGCGGCAACAGCUCAAAUUUGAAAUCUGGCUCUCGGGCCCGAGUUGUAAUUUGUAGAGGAUGCUUUUGGUGAGGUGCCUUCCGAGUUCCCUGGAACGGGACGCCACAGAGGGUGAGAGCCCCGUCUGGUUGGACACCGAGCCUCUGUAAAGCUCCUUCGACGAGUCGAGUAGUUUGGGAAUGCUGCUCUAAAUGGGAGGUAUAUGUCUUCUAAAGCUAAAUACC